rnacentral:rRNA from 1 species
CUCUACGGCCAGGUCACCCUGAAUAUGCCUGAUCUCGGAAGCUAAGCAAGGUCGGACCUGGUUAGUACUUGGAUGAGGGAUCACCUAGGAAACCAGGUGCUGUAGGUG